rnacentral:sRNA from 1 species
GUACCAGGAAGCGCUGGGGGGCAGAGGAGCGGAGUUGAGGCAGAAGCCAGUCAGGAUGGUGGUGCCUUCGCUGAAGCUUCAGGACCUCAUCGAAGAGAUUCGCGGGGCCAAGACUCAGGCCCAGGAGCGGGAGGUGAUCCAAAAGGAGUGUGCCCACAUCCGGGCCUCCUUCCGCGACGGGGACCCAGUGCACAGGCACCGGCAGCUGGCCAAACUGCUCUACGUCCACAUGUUGGGCUACCCCGCCCACUUUGGACAGAUGGAGUGCCUGAAACUGAUCGCCUCCUCCAGAUUCACAGACAAGAGGGUGGGCUACCUGGGGGCCAUGCUUCUAUUGGAUGAGAGGCACGAUGCCCACCUGCUCAUUACCAACAGCAUCAAGAAUGACCUGAGCCAGGGGAUUCAGCCAGUACAAGGCCUGGCCUUGUGCACUUUGAGCACCAUGGGCUCUGCUGAGAUGUGCCGAGACCUGGCCCCAGAGGUGGAGAAACUGCUCCUGCAGCCCAGUCCCUACGUGCGCAAGAAGGCUAUUCUGACUGCAGUGCACAUGAUCCGGAAGGUCCCUGAACUCUCCAGUGUCUUCCUCCCACCCUGUGCCCAACUGCUUCAUGAGCGUCACCAUGGUAAGGCUGUGGGGCCCCCCAUCCUUUGCUUCAGGUCUAUGGACAGAAGAAUUGAAAAUCGGAUGGGAACCCCAGCUCAUAGGAGAAUGGUAGUGCACACACACAGGCACACACGCAAUAGACUCUCUUGCCCCUGGCCCCCACCAUUCACUUCCCCGACCCUGACCCCAGGCAUCCUGCUGGGCACCAUCACGCUGAUCACGGAGCUCUGCGAACGAAGCCCUGCAGCCCUCAGGCACUUCCGAAAGGUGGGCUGGUGAAGGGGCAGGCCCUGGGCCUGGAAGAGAGGGUCAGUGGGGAAGGAAUGGGGCUUUAGCUGGAGAGGAUUAGAACGAAUGCCCAAAGUUGUGCCCUCCCUCCAGGUGGUACCCCAGCUGGUACACAUCCUCCGGACUCUGGUGACAAUGGGAUACUCCACAGAACACAGCAUAUCUGGAGUCAGCGACCCCUUCCUGCAGGUCCAGAUACUUCGUCUGCUUCGGAUCCUGGGCCGGAACCACGAGGAGAGCAGUGAGACCAUGAAUGACUUGCUGGCCCAGGUGGGGCCUGGGAGGGCACUGGUUAGCUGUGUUGCUUGGAGACCCCAUCAGCCCUGGGUGCCCCUCACAUGACUCGUCACUGUGCAGUGGCCGUGUAAUUGCCUCUCCAUCUCCUCUAGACAGUGAACUCCAUGAAGAA